rnacentral:rRNA from 1 species
UACGGAGGGUGCAAGCGUUAAUCGGAAUUACUGGGCGUAAAGCGUGCGCAGGCGGUUUGUUAAGUCUGUUGUGAAAUCCCCGAGCUCAACUUGGGAUUGCAAUGGAUACUGGCAGGCUGGAGUAUGGUAGAGGAAGGUGGAAUUCCCGGUGUAGCAGUGAAAUGCGUAGAGAUCGGGAGGAACACCAGUGGCGAAGGCGGCCUUCUGGACCAAUACUGACGCUGAAGCACGAAAGCGUGGGGAGCAAACAGG